GAUUUAUUAGCGAAGACUUCCUAUAUCCAAGUACUUAAAGAAAAACGUAACUGUUGUCAAAUGUGCAAUAUAUCGAUAUAAGUUCUAGUUCGAUAAGAUAUAUUAUACUUUAGUAACGGAUACGUCUACGUAAGCUGGCAGCCGCGACGACGUCGGUGUAUCGUCGGGCGAUUGUUAUAAACAAAUUUUACAAUAACAUGUCUCUUGAAGAUCAUGUGAAAUGGAAGCUGGAAAUGGAAUAUUGCACAUCUAAUCUCCUUAUGCUUUACAUUUUUGCUGAGAAUAUAAAUAAACUUAUCCCUGCGUUGCACCGUCGUUUCGGGACGUUCGCCUCCUUGUACAUAAAUAUAUAUAUAAAUAAAAUUAAACGUGAUGGCGAGAUACACUAAGCUGGACGAAAACUUUCGCGAGUUUGAGCGUUGAGAGAAGCGAGCAUUUAGAUUCGAUACAUGGGAAACGAAGUAACCACACCCAUUCUCUAGAAGAAAAGCAAGUUAAGAGUCAUAAUGGAAGUGACACUGCUGUUAUUGUGAAAACACUUAACGAUGGACUAAGGAUCUACAGCGAAUACUCUGUAUCCGAAUGCUCCAACGCAUGCAUAGUAGUCGGCUAGUAUACGUAAUAAAUAAAAUUUCUGAACAAA